rnacentral:rRNA from 1 species
CCUACGUGGUGCAGCAGUGGGGAAUAUUGGACAAUGGGCGAAAGCCUGAUCCAGCCAUGCCGCGUGUGUGAAGAAGGCCUUCGGGUUGUAAAGCACUUUCAGUGGGGAAGAAAGCCUUGGGGCUAAUACCCUCGAGGAAGGACAUCACCCACAGAAGAAGCACCGGCUAACUCCGUGCCAGCAGCCGCGGUAAUACGGAGGGUGCGAGCGUUAAUCGGAAUUACUGGGCGUAAAGCGCGCGUAGGCGGUCUGAUAAGCCGGUUGUGAAAGCCCCGGGCUCAACCUGGGAACGGCAUCCGGAACUGUCAGGCUAGAGUGCAGGAGAGGAAGGUAGAAUUCCCGGUGUAGCGGUGAAAUGCGUAGAGAUCGGGAGGAAUACCAGUGGCGAAGGCGGUCUUCUGGACUGACACUGACGCUGAGGUGCGAAAGCGUGGGUAGCAAACAGGAUUAGAUACCCCUGUAGUC